rnacentral:rRNA from 1 species
GAUGAACGCUGGCGGCGUGCCUAAUACAUGCAAGUCGAGCGAACGGACGAGAAGCUUGCUUCACUGAUGUUAGCGGCGGACGGGUGAGUAACACGUGGAUAACCUACCUAUAAGACUGGGAUAACUUCGGGAAACCGUAGCUAAUACCGGAUAAUAUUUUGAACCGCAUGGUUCAAAAGUGAAAGACGGUCUUGCUGUCACUUAUAGAUGGAUCCGCGCUGCAUUAGCUAGUUGGUAAGGUAACGGCUUACCAAGGCAACGAUGCAUAGCCGACCUGAGAGGGUGAUCGGCCACACUGGAACUGAGACACGGUCCUGACUCCUACGGGAGGCAGCGGUAGGGAAUCUUCCGCGAUGGGCGAAAGCCUGACGGAGCAACGCCGCGUGAGUGAUGAAGGUCUUCGGAUCGUAAAACUCUGUUAUUAGGGAAGAACAUAUGUGUAAGUAACUGUGCACAUCUUGACGGUACCUAAUCAGAAAGCCACGGCUAACUACGUG